CACACACACACACACACACACACACACACACACACACACACACACACACACACACAGCAGUGGCUGACGGCAGACUGCCAGCGCUCGUGUGCCGCUGGUGCUGUUUUGUCAAAUGUUCACAAAGUGUCUUUUGGAAGUGUCCUUCCAGCCAGUUACAAGUUUAUACUUGUAACUCCAAAUGGUGCUUUCAUUCAUCACGAUAGCAGAGGCUUUCGUGUUGGAACAAUGUUCCUGAAAGACAUAAGUGAAAAUGUAAAUUUAUUGUGUUUAAUAAUUAACAACCGU